UAAUCCUAGCCCUAGCCCUACACAAAUAUAAUUAUACUAUUAUAUAAAUCAAAACAUUUAUCCUACUAAAAGUAUUGGAGAAAGAAAUUCGUACAUCUAGGAGCUAUAGAACUAGUACCGCAAGGGAAAGAUGAAAGACUAAUUAAAAGUAAGAACAAGCAAAGAUUAAACCUUGUACCUUUUGCAUAAUGAACUAACUAGAAAACUUCUAACUAAAAGAAUUACAGCUAGAAACCCCGAAACCAAACGAGCUACCUAAAAACAAUUUUAUGAAUCAACUCGUCUAUGUGGCAAAAUAGUGAGAAGAUUUUUAGGUAGAGGUGAAAAGCCUAACGAGCUUGGUGAUAGCUGGUUACCCAAAAAAUGAAUUUAAGUUCAAUUUUAAACUUGCUAAAAAAACAACAAAAUCAAAAAGUAAGUUUAGAUUAUAGCCAAAAGAGGGACAGCUCUUCUGGAACGGAAAAAACCUUUAAUAGUGAAUAAUUAACAAAACAGCUUUUAACCAUUGUAGGCCUAAAAGCAGCCACCAAUAAAGAAAGCGUUCAAGCUCAACAUAAAAUUUCAAUUAAUUCCAUAAUUUACACCAACUUCCUAAACUUAAAAUUGGGUUAAUCUAUAACUUUAUAGAUGCAACACUGUUAGUAUGAGUAACAAGAAUUCCAAUUCUCCAGGCAUACGCGUAUAACAACUCGGAUAACCAUUGUUAGUUAAUCAGACUAUAGGCAAUAAUCACACUAUAAAUAAUCCACCUAUAACUUCUCUGUUAACCCAACACCGGAAUGCCUAAAGGAAAGAUCCAAAAAGAUAAAAGGAACUCGGCAAA
rnacentral:rRNA from 1 species